rnacentral:tRNA from 1 species
CGGGCGCGUGGGCGGCGUUCCAUGCCCUGCCGUUCCAGGUGGCGGACUGGACGUACGGUGCGUCGUCCGCGGCGCCCGU